UACGUAGGGUGCGAGCGUUGUCCGGAAUUAUUGGGCGUAAAGAGCUCGUAGGCGGUUUGUCGCGUCGGCCGUGAAAACUUGGGGCUUAACCCCAAGCCUGCGGUCGAUACGGGCAGACUUGAGUUCGGCAGGGGAGACUGGAAUUCCUGGUGUAGCGGUGAAAUGCGCAGAUAUCAGGAGGAACACCGGUGGCGAAGGCAGCUCUCUGGGACGGUACUGACGCUGAGACGCGAAAGCGUGGGGAGCGAACAGG
rnacentral:rRNA from 1 species